rnacentral:lncRNA from 1 species
AGUGGUUGUCGAGGGUGCAACAGGUCAGCACCUCAGGAGUAAAUGUCAGUUGGCUUUUCAUAGCCAAUCAUUCAGAGUAUCUCUACCGCUCCUGCUGUCUCUAGAGAGUUGAAAACAGCAGGUCUGGGACAGGUAGCACGUCCGGUGAGCAGGUCAGGGUUCCAUAGCCGCAGGCAGAACAGUUGAAACUGGAGCAGCAGCACAACCAGGUGGACUGGGGGACAGCAAGGAGUCAUCAGGCCAGAUAGACCUGAGGCAUGGUCCUAGGGCUCAUGUCCUCUGAGAGAAGAGAGAGAGGGAGACCUCACUAAUGCUCUUGUGGCUGAAUGGAAGCAAGUCCCCACAGCAAUGUUCCAUCUUCUAGUGGAAAGCCUUCCCAGAAUAGUGGAGGCUGUUAUAGCAGCAAAGGGGGACCAACUCCGUAUUAAUGACCAUGAUUUUGGAAUGAGAUGUUCAAUGAGCAGGUGUCCACAUACUUUUGGUCAUGUAGUGUUUCUACCUAAUGUUAGAUAAUAGCAGGUGUCCACAUACUUUUGGUCAUGUAGUGUAUAAAUCUCAUGAUUCAAUGAUUAUUUAAUUAUCACUAUCUCACUAUCUUUAUUUAAUUUUACAGAUGAACUCAAAGAAGAGCUGAGGGAAGCUAAAGAAACCAUCCAAUCCUCUCCACCUCUCCAGAUGGUCAACAGAAAACACAGACUCCUUCCCAAAAGUCUGAGGGGAUUGAAGGGAUGGAGAUGGAGUCUUUACCAGGGAGGAAGUCUGGUCCUGGUCCAGGGAGGGAGUCUGCUCCUGAGAUGAAGCCUUUACUGGGUCCUGCUGGACCACAGAAGGAUGAUCUGGAUGAGCUGGAGAGGGGAGGAAGAGUUACUACAGAAUUUAACUGUGUGCUAUAGGGUUACUAUAGAGAGACUAUAACUAUAGAGCUGAGUUACUAUAGAGAGACUGUAACUAUAGAGCUGAGUUACUAUAGAGAGACUAUAACUAUAGAGCUGAGUUACUAUAGAGAGACUAUAACUAUAGAGCUGAGUUACUAUAGAGAGACUAUAACUAUAGAGCUGAGUUACUAUAGAGAGACUAUAACUAUAGAGCUGAGUUACUAUAGAGACUAUAACUAUAGAGCUGAGUUACUAUAGAGAGACUAUAACUAUAGAGCUGAGUUACUAUAGAGAGACUAUAACUAUAGAGCUGAGUUACUAUAGAGAGACUAUAACUAUAGAGCUGAGUUACUAUAGAGAGACUAUAACUAUAG